GGGUGCGAUCAUACCAGCAAUAAUGCCGGAUCCUCAGAACCGAGUAGCUUGCUUGGGCGGAGCAGUAGAUGGGUGACUCUGGAGUCUCGUGUUGCACCCU
rnacentral:rRNA from 1 species